rnacentral:rRNA from 1 species
GUACACUCCUACGGGAGGCAUCAGUGGGGAAUAUUGGACAAUGGGCGCAAGCCUGAUCCAGCCAUGCCGCGUGAGUGAUGAAGGCCCUAGGGUUGUAAAGCUCUUUCACCGGUGAAGAUAAUGACGGUAACCGGAGAAGAAGCCCCGGCUAACUUCGUGCCAGCAGCCGCGGUAAUACGAAGGGGGCUAGCGUUGUUCGGAUUUACUGGGCGUAAAGCGCACGUAGGCGGACUAUUAAGUCAGGGGUGAAAUCCCGGGGCUCAACCCCGGAACUGCCUUUGAUACUGGUAGUCUUGAGUUCGAGAGAGGUGAGUGGAAUUCCGAGUGUAGAGGUGAAAUUCGUAGAUAUUCGGAGGAACACCAGUGGCGAAGGCGGCUCACUGGCUCGAUACUGACGCUGAGGUGCGAAAGCGUGGGGAGCAAACAGGAUUAGAUACCCUUGUAGUCCCAUG